CCUCUGUAAGUCACCUAAGUUGCUGACUGCUUGAUGAAUAUCACUUUGAAGAUCAUCCAGUAAAGCCUCAUGAUUUUGAAUGACUUCGAACAUUUCUCUGGAAUCCACUGAUGUUGACACUAGUCACAAGAUUGAAAAAACAAAGUCAUGCAACGGAGUGCAGCGACCAGGCGACAGUUACCUGAACGUUCUGGUGGCACCAACAGUGAAUGAUGAGAUGAUGAUGGAGGAGCUGCUAUUGGCUUCUAUGUAUGUCACCAGCCGGGACUGCGUGAAGGAACACCAGUUCCUAGCGGAAGAAAGACGUGGG